rnacentral:lncRNA from 1 species
UAUAGCUUCCUGUGUCGGGCUGCAAAUGUCUCACUUUGUUAAGAAUUUACACUUAUGCUUUAAGGAACAAGCACUCAAUACAACUAUGUAGGAAGUAUUUGGAUGAAACCCCAGGCAACAUAACUGAAAAUGUCAGAUGAAUGCAUCAGCGUUUCACAGCUAUCUUCUUCUAUGAAGAUACACAAGAAGAGCUAAAAUAGUGCCUGGGGGCUAGAAUUUGAAGAGGAGAGAUUACUACAUGAGGUCCUCUUGAAGAUAUUUAAGUAUUUUGCCGGCUCGUGUAUUUCAUCCUAUAUUUUAUUGGCUUACUCAUAUGCAAUCCUAUAACACUCUAUACUAACACAUUUUUAAGUAUCCUAUGUUUCUGACAGAAACUUAAACCAUUCACUUCAUACAAAGUUUUAUAAGAUUUUACUGUAUUUUACUCAGCAACAACAGCCAAUAUCUGUCCAAGAAAACCCAUUUUUGAGUAGCUUCA